AACAGAUGAAUUCAAUCUUUUAAGGCCAAUUUGCAAUUGUUUAUUUAUUCAAGACUGAAGAUGCUUAAAUUCUUCUUUCAACUGUAAAUAAACAAAAUCUUAAUUUUCAGUUCUGUGUGCUUGACAGUGAAAUACCUGCUAUCAAUUUCAAUUAAAAGUUAAACAGAAAUCUAUUUAACAUGCAGAAGGAGUCAUGAAGAGUUAUGGGUAGAGGGUAUAGAAAACCUUAUAUACCCUAUAUCUUGCUCUGUAUCAAAGAAGCACAGAAAUAUACAUUAAUAUUUUUUAUCAAGGAACAAUGACAAUGCAUUUUUUCGAUAAAUAUGGACAGAUAAUAAAAUUAGAAGCUGCUGAAAAAUUAAUACCAAACUUCAAUAAAAACAACAGAUAGUUGAUAAAACAUGUAAGAAAGCUUCAGUCGGGUUUGCUCCACUAUGAGAUACCCGGUACCCAUAUUGAA